UAGGUGGAGCUGUAGGUGUCGCUACUUCAGUGUGUUUUCAGUUCAUGAAAGUUAAUUGUAACAUUUUGGUCGCCUAAAGAAGUCUUGUUCAGCGCUACGUUGUGAUAAAAGACCCUCUAAGGAGUCGGAUGUUCAGUUUUUCCGUUUCAGCUAUUCAACAUGUGGAGAGUCGACAGAAAAGACGACAGGAGAGAGAGAAAUGCAACAAAGAUCCCCGACUGGAUUCAAACCAGGGACGUUGUGGUUCAUGUCACAAAUUAAGGCUGCAAUGAAGAGAAGCAGGCUGAGUACACUGAGCAAACUCCGACCACCAGUGAAGACUGUGAGAUGUGGUUAAAAGCUCUGAAAAAAGCAAGAGCUGGAGUUGAUGUUCUGGAAAAAGGUGAUCCUGCGAUUUCCCCAAUCAGGACCUGGUGACAUUUCCAGAAAUGUUAACUCCAGGCUUGAGCUUGUGAAAGGUUAUGACAUUUUUUCAUUAUACAUAAACAAAUAUAGUGUGCAAACCAAUCACAAGAGAGUCUGGGCCUGUGUUUUUCCCUCUGCAGAUUGUUCACAGCAAACAUUUGUUUGGAGCAGUGUGCUUAAUGAAGCGUGGAGCAAAGACUUUGCUCUUUUUAAUUAUCCAUUACAUGAACCAUUUCUCGUACUUGUUCUAUUGUGUUUCACUGUAUUCACAAUAUUUUCAUGUGUGUUUAUAAUGCACUUUGUUUGUUGUUUUAUAAAAGUGCUAUAGAAAUGAAGAUUGUCACAGACAGUAGCCAGUGUGAGCAGAGCCUGCAGCAGCCAGAAAAAUUCACACUGCAAUUUUUCAAGUUUCACAUGUUGCUCCUUUUGCACUACCCUCCCACCACUCUCUCUCUCUCUCUCUCUCUCUCUCUUUCUAUCCAAGUCUCCAUUCCCAUCCUUCCCUCUUCCUUCUCGUCACUCAUCUGUCACCCUCUUUUCCCAGUGUUUUCCUUCCUCUCACACUCUCAUUGUCCUCUCUCUCUCUCUCUCUCUCUCUCUCUCACUUUCUCUCAGAUGUCAGAGGCCCACAGGGUGUUGUAGUAAGUCUGUCAGUCACUUUCGUUUAGUGUUUGUAGUCUGUCCAGCCUCUCUGAUCCAUUAUAAAUAGCUCUAAGUGGCACAGCACUCCCUCUGCGCUGUCACUCAACACUGUCAAUUAAACUUUCUACUCAGCCUAAUUAAUCUGACCAGUUAGUCAGAAUAAAGAUUGAGGUGGACAUGAAACAGUUACAUCCUAAAUGUAGAAACCUAUUAGCUAAUUAUUAUUACAUGAGAAAAUAAAAAAAAGUCUAAUAUUCAUGUGUGUUCAUGCUGAAUCAUUUUGUUUACCUAAUUAGCAACACAGACAAGCAGGGAUCAGCCCCAGACGAUUUAUGUCAGAUGUUCAUUUGAUUUGACAGGCAGUGCUGUUAAUAUUUGAGGAAUUUUCAACGCUGCAUUAGGGAGUGUUCAAGGUCUCAACGUCUAUGAUGUAAUCUGCAGCUAGUCUUUCCAAAUGUCAGUCGGAAUAAAUACAUUUAGGGCUGAAGAUCCUCGUGGUUAUGACUGGGUUUACUGCAUCUGCUGUAUACUUCCAGAGAUUUAAGGUGGGUUUGACAGAUUAAUUUCUCUUCAUUGAGGUCUCUAGCUGAUUAGCCCAUAUGGAUCCUCCAGAACAUCCACUUUAUUUUAUUUUGUUGGACAGUCUGGGUCUAUUUUUUAUCUCAACACGUUUCUAAUAGGAUAUGGGGACUUGCCAAGUUUUCACAUUCUUGUUAUAUUAGAGUUCCAAUUCAGUGUAAUUAAGCGACCGUCUUGCAGAAUAGGAAUCUGAAUUACUUCACGCCCGAAAUUUUCCCUGGUGGAUUCACUGCUGUCUGGAUGUUAGUCGCCCUGAUUGACCGGAGGCUAUUAAUAUCUCAAAGACUUUCAAGGGUACAAAAGGACUAAACUAGUUCUCAUUUUCUGUAAUGUGGAGUGGAAAUAUUUUUGAUAUGAAAUAUGCUGUGUAAUCCCAAAUGCCUCCUGUAUUUUUUAUUUCUGUUUUGUGUGCGACAUUUAGUAUUGUAGAGGUUAUUUAUUGUUCUGUUUGUCACAGUACGUGAACAUCACACCCUAAAUUUGUCUCUUUUGCCUUAAAAAAAUCAGAAUUUCUCAAUUCACCUCACCUAGAAAACAAAUAAGUUUGAUUACCGAUGCUCUUGCCAUCUUUUAACACAAUGAAAUCAUGAGAUGAGACAAUAUUUCCCACCAGAAAAAAACAAACUUUUUUACUCUUUCACAUUUCAUUUCAGCUGGAGACAUAGAAAGUAUACUGCAGUUUUUGCAUUCUCACACUGCUAUCCUCACUUAGAGAGGGUGAUAAUAAUGAGAUGUGAUUACUGCCACAGUCAGUGAAAUUGAAACAAUGAUCAGCUAAGAGUGUUCAUUUCACAGUGAGACGUGUUAUAACAAUAUACUAUUUCAGUUUCAGUGAUUUCGGGGACAAAGCAGCAAGAAGAAAGACCUUUGAUUCACCCAGAAGAAUUAAGGACAAAGCUUUCACGGCAGCAACCACCUAUCCCGAUGAAGUGGCCGUGUUCCAGACACUGAAUCCCUGCCAGCUUCUGAGGACACUUUGACCCAUGACCCCUGUUGGGCAGCAAAGUAUAAGAAGACUUCUCCUACAUGACUGAAAAAGGGUAUUAUCACAUCUUAGCGAUUAUUACUGAGUGGGUAAACUGAGUAAUACUGUCACACUGUUUCACACGCUGCCUAGUCACAACUUGUCUAGACGUUACCAUGCUCCCCCGACACGCACCCACUCCAAAUCCUGUUACCGCCGGCAGCCUGCGCCACAAUAACCUACAUUCCACAGUAAUCACACUGACUGACUGAGGCGUCUGAUGGUGUCGGAGGCACGUUGGAAAAACGGCAGCAAAUCCUGGUGACAGAGAACGAGGCUGCUGACAUCCAGAGAGGGGAGGGAGGGAGAGCGUUUUUCUUUUGUGCAUUCAAAUCUUAUUUGGAAAAGGGAGGAUAUGCAUUUUUGAGGACCGUGUUGCUGUGGCUGUGCUCCAAGCUUCUAUCAGCUCUGAGAAAAGAAGAGGCAGGGAUUCAGGCUGGCUCUGACACACACACACACAUACACACACACUGUAAUACCAUUGCACAGAAACAAAUGUCUUUCUCAACAUUUAGUUUAAAUUUAUUUUGACUAGAAGGUGAGACAGUUUUGGCUACACCACAACAUAAUUGGCAAGGACAGCACACUAACUUCUGACUUCUUCUAUUGUGGUUUGGGCAGCAAUUUGAGACAGCAUUUGAGUAGACAGCAGCUAAUAAUAAAUAAUCCACUAAAGCAAUAUGCUAACAGCAUCGGAAUGAAAAUAGUAUAAGACAGGGCAAUUUAGACAUGUUGUUAUGUGUAUUCUUUUGGGAAACACAACCUUAUAUAGUGCUGAUAAAAUAACUGAGUUAAGGUAUAUACCCAAACAAUACAUUUUUAACCCCUUUUUGUCUUGUUUAUAAUUAAAAUUAGAAACAGCUUAAUCAAAUAAUGCCCUUUGAGGACGUCUAGUGCUCUGAAGUCUAUAGAAAUCACUCAUACACGCACUAACAGACACACAGCAGAGACGGAGGCAAAGCAAGAAAACAGGAGGGAUGGGGGACGUGCACGCGCAUGCUCGGCCACGCGGCACCAGGGCUCAGAUUUGGCUGCUCCUCGGCUUCUCCGGGCGCUUGAUGCACGGCGUCCCCGACUGACACGCCUUGUGUAUCUCCUCCCAUCAGCCACAGGAAGAAAUCAUAUUCAAUUCCAGCCGUGUCAUUAGAAAAACUACACCGCCCAGGCAGAAUUAUAAAUUGGUAUUGAAUGGGAGAUGGUGACUGAAUGUUGGAGGACAUUUGUCGCCAAUAUUUGCAUAAUGUGAUUUUUUUUUCCAACAAGUAUCAGGAAAUGAAUCUGCCCAUUUAGCCAUGCGCAAAUUAGUGUUAAAUUGGGAUGAUUGCCGGAUUGCGCGCAUGUGCAUUAACUACUGAAAUGAAUCACACUGACCCUAUAAGACAUUUUAGGAGGAUACUAUAGAUUACUACAGCAAAUGAAUGAAUCCAUAUGAAAAUAUUACAGCCUAUAAAAUGUUAGAGUUUAUCCUUCCAGAGGGAAAAAUUCACAAUAAAGUCAUUGAGUUUUAAUUUA